GCAGUCGAGCGGUAGCACAGAGAGCUUGCUCUCGGGUGACGAGCGGCGGACGGGUGAGUAAUGUCUGGGAAACUGCCUGAUGGAGGGGGAUAACUACUGGAAACGGUAGCUAAUACCGCAUAACGUCGCAAGACCAAAGUGGGGGACCUUCGGGCCUCAUGCCAUCAGAUGUGCCCAGAUGGGAUUAGCUAGUAGGUGGGGUAACGGCUCACCUAGGCGACGAUCCCUAGCUGGUCUGAGAGGAUGACCAGCCACACUGGAACUGAGACACGGUCCAGACUCCUACGGGAGGCAGCAGUGGGGAAUAUUGCACAAUGGGCGCAAGCCUGAUGCAGCCAUGCCGCGUGUGUGAAGAAGGCCUUCGGGUUGUAAAGCACUUUCAGCGGGGAGGAAGGCGAUAAGGUUAAUAACCUUGUCGAUUGACGUUACCCGCAGAAGAAGCACCGGCUAACUCCGUGCCAGCAGCCGCGGUAAUACGGAGGGUGCAAGCGUUAAUCGGAAUUACUGGGCGUAAAGCGCACGCAGGCGGUCUGUCAAGUCGGAUGUGAAAUCCCCGGGCUCAACCUGGGAACUGCAUUCGAAACUGGCAGGCUAGAGUCUUGUAGAGGGGGGUAGAAUUCCAGGUGUAGCGGUGAAAUGCGUAGAGAUCUGGAGGAAUACCGGUGGCGAAGGCGGCCCCCUGGACAAAGACUGACGCUCAGGUGCGAAAGCGUGGGGAGCAAACAGGAUUAGAUACCCUGGUAGUCCACGCCGUAAACGAUGUCGAUUUGGAGGUUGUGCCCUUGAGGCGUGGCUUCCGGAGCUAACGCGUUAAAUCGACCGCCUGGGGAGUACGGCCGCAAGGUUAAAACUCAAAUGAAUUGACGGGGGCCCGCACAAGCGGUGGAGCAUGUGGUUUAAUUCGAUGCAACGCGAAGAACCUUACCUGGUCUUGACAUCCACAGAACUUUCCAGAGAUGGAUUGGUGCCUUCGGGAACUGUGAGACAGGUGCUGCAUGGCUGUCGUCAGCUCGUGUUGUGAAAUGUUGGGUUAAGUCCCGCAACGAGCGCAACCCUUAUCCUUUGUUGCCAGCGGUUAGGCCGGGAACUCAAAGGAGACUGCCAGUGAUAAACUGGAGGAAGGUGGGGAUGACGUCAAGUCAUCAUGGCCCUUACGACCAGGGCUACACACGUGCUACAAUGGCAUAUACAAAGAGAAGCGACCUCGCGAGAGCAAGCGGACCUCAUAAAGUAUGUCGUAGUCCGGAUUGGAGUCUGCAACUCGACUCCAUGAAGUCGGAAUCGCUAGUAAUCGUAGAUCAGAAUGCUACGGUGAAUACGUUCCCGGGCCUUGUACACACCGCCCGUCACACCAUGGGAGUGGGUUGCAAAAGAAGUAGGUAGCUUAACCUUCGGGAGGGCGCU
rnacentral:rRNA from 1 species